rnacentral:misc_RNA from 1 species
GGGCAUGAGGUCUCUAUCAAGGAGUAUAUUGCUUGCUUUAAUGUCUCUAUGAACAAUAUGUGGCUGGACUUCUUCAUGAAGAAAUGCAAGCCCCUGAGCUACACCAAUGCAUAUUUUACGCCUUGUUGGCCAACUGAACUGGAUGCUGCUAUGGCUUCCACCUUAAAGGGGAAAAAAGUACUAUUUAAACGUUAAUAAACUCAAAUAAAAAAUGAAUGUUGAAUUUACCUAGAAGUGUUUGCGCAAGGCUGUUAUUCUCAAGGUAGCCAUAGACCAAAAUUCUAUGAUUUUCUUCAGCACAACAACCAUACAACUUAACCAGGUUAUCAUGCUCUAUAUCUGCAAUUAACUUUAUUUCUGUCAAGAAUUCCCGCAGUCCUUGCCUUGAGUCAGCUGAUAGUACCUUUAUGGCAGCCACAGUCCCAUCUUUGAGACUUCCCUGUCCAUUUACAAGAACAUCUUACAAGAGUUGAGCAUUGGCAUUGAAAUCAAGGGACCUAUUCAAGCAAUCAUAAGUUCUUUGAAAGAUUUCAAUAGUCUCAACACAAGCAAUCACCUUGUAUACACAACCAAAACCUCCCUCUCCAAUUUUAUUGGCUGGAGUAAAAUUUUCAGUUGCAAUUCGCAAUUCUCUAUAAGUGUACAAGGUUGUGUUCUGAAUGCUUGAAACCACUGUACCAUUUAAAGUCAUUAGAAUUUUCUGUAUACACAAAACCAUACAAAAGGAAGAAGAAAUAGAGAAGAAGAGGACAAAGACUAUAGAAUCAUAGAAGAUUAUGUAGCUACUGCCAUUUCAACUCAGUCACCUACACUGCCAUAAAUGGGCCCUAACAAAAAUUAAUGCAUUUAGUACAGGGAAAAUACAAAAAAAUACAUGUGGUUGGGCUAUUUUCAAGUAGUAAUGUGGUUUGAAUUUUGACAAACCAGUACCCUAUGGUUAAGUCCGUUAGCACUUAAGCAGCCAUUAGUACUUAAGGUGUUUGAACCUUCUUUGCUAAUGGACUUAACCCAAGGUCCACAAUGCUACUCGACAAUAGACCACAUCACAGGGUACAAUUUUCACACAGACACACCAACAAUUUAAGCAUGGACUACUCUAUAAAGCGGCAUACCAUCAUCAACUUCUGUCGUAUGUCUAGGUGGGGAAGCUCCCUUCUUUUUGAAACAUGAAUAUAAACAAGUCAUCACCAGGUUUUUACACAAGCCAAUGGCUCCAAUGCAACUUCUACCUCGUCCUGCAAAAGCAAAACAUCAUUAAACAUGUGACCAUGCUACCCUGACACCCCAUAAAAAUGAGCUAUUCUUGCUUUACAACAACUUGUUAACCAUUACCAACAACUUGGGAAGGGAAAAUGUAAAAAGCAAUUUGUCAACUAAAAAUAAUAGUUAUGGUAGCAAUGGACAACUUGCUCUAACUUCUCCCCAUUUUAACUAAUAUUUCAUGCUAUCAACAUUAACACAUAUUCACUCAUUUACGCCAUAAUCGAGAUAGAUAGGAAUGCAAAUCUUUGACCACAACAAGAACAGCCCGGUAGCAAAGGGAUAAAAGAUACCAGCGUCCAUCAUAUUUUGUAAUAAACUUGUAUUUAAUCUUAAAUAUAAUUUCAGCAUUUAAUCAAUUUAAAAAACUUAUUCACAGGAAAUUUACAUUGAAAGGAAAAUAGAAUGUUGAGAAAGGGAACUAUUAAGAUACAAAAAAACAGCAAAUGAAAUGAACUUAUACAAAACAGAGAUCUCAAAAAAUAAUAAACUGUAAUGGAGUGAAGGAAGUAAUUUUAGCUAAGCUGAAGCAUAGGCACAUAUAAACGAUGACCAUAAAAACACUGUAGAAAAUUCAAAGUAAGACCAAGGGAAAAAAGUAACUCAAAGAACAAGAGAACUCCUCAACAUAUGGAGCUCAGAGAAGUUGUCAGACUUACAGGAGACCCUUCAAAAUUCAAAAAAGUCAAUGCUGGAACAAACAACUUGAAAGGAAUUACCAUUAUUGGAUAAGAAAAUCACUUUUUAAACCAUAUAAUAAAGCCCAUAAUCACCAUCUUUAGCAGUAAAUUCAAACGUCAGAUUCCACACAGCAACACAAAAGCGAGAGAGCGAGAGAGAGAGAAAUCAAAGAAACCAACUUUAUGAUCAGUUCGAUGCAAUGAAAACAGAGGAAAUGAAAAGGAAAGAUAUUUCAGUCAAUCAAAUUUCAAGAAAUGCAACUCUUUUUCAAUUUUCAUUUCUUUAUUCUGCACACACACCACCAC